GAUGAACGCUGGCGGCGUGGCCUAAUACAUGCAAGUCGAGCGAACAGACGAGGAGCUUGCUCCUUUGACGUUAGCGGCGGACGGGUGAGUAACACGUGGGUAACCUACCUAUAAGACUGGGAUAACUUCGGGAAACCGGAGCUAAUACCGGAUAAUAUUUCGAACCGCAUGGUUCGAUAGUGAAAGAUGGCUUUGCUAUCACUUAUAGAUGGACCUGCGCCGUAUUAGCUAGUUGGUAAGGUAACGGCUUACCAAGGCAACGAUACGUAGCCGACCUGAGAGGGUGAUCGGCCACACUGGAACUGAGACACGGUCCAGACUCCUACGGGAGGCAGCAGUAGGGAAUCUUCCGCAAUGGGCGAAAGCCUGANCGGAGCACGCCGCGUGAGUGAUGAAGGUCUUCGGAUCGNUAAACUCUGUUAUUAGGGAAGAACAACGUGUAAGUAACUGUGCACGUCUUGACGGUACCUAAUCAGAAAGCCACGGCUAACUACGUGCCAGCAGCCGCGGUAAUACGUAGGUGGCAAGCGUUAUCCGGAAAUAUUGGGCGUAAAGCGCGCGUAGGCGGUUUUUUAAGUCUGAUGUGAAAGCCCACGGCUCAACCGUGGAGGGUCAUUGGAAACUGGAAAACUUGAGUGCAGAAGAGGAAAGUGGAAUUCCAUGUGUAGCGGUGAAAUGCGCAGAGAUAUGGAGGAACACCAGUGGCGAAGGCGACUUUCUGGUCUGUAACUGACGCUGAUGUGCGAAAGCGUGGGGAUCAAACAGGAUUAGAUACCCUGGUAGUCCACGCCGUAAACGAUGAGUGCUAAGUGUUAGGGGGUUUCCGCCCCUUAGUGCUGCAGCUAACGCAUUAAGCACUCCGCCUGGGGAGUACGACCGCAAGGUUGAAACUCAAAGGAAUUGACGGGGACCCGCACAAGCGGUGGAGCAUGUGGUUUAAUUCGAAGCAACGCGAAGAACCUUACCAAAUCUUGACAUCCUUUGACCCUUCUAGAGAUAGAAGUUUCCCCUUCGGGGGACAAAGUGACAGGUGGUGCAUGGUUGUCGUCAGCUCGUGUCGUGAGAUGUUGGGUUAAGUCCCGCAACGAGCGCAACCCUUAAGCUUAGUUGCCAUCAUUAAGUUGGGCACUCUAAGUUGACUGCCGGUGACAAACCGGAGGAAGGUGGGGAUGACGUCAAAUCAUCAUGCCCCUUAUGAUUUGGGCUACACACGUGCUACAAUGGACAAUACAAAGGGCAGCGAAACCGCGAGGUCAAGCAAAUCCCAUAAAGUUGUUCUCAGUUCGGAUUGUAGUCUGCAACUCGACUACAUGAAGCUGGAAUCGCUAGUAAUCGUAGAUCAGCAUGCUACGGUGAAUACGUUCCCGGGUCU
rnacentral:rRNA from 1 species